rnacentral:rRNA from 1 species
UCUAGUGACAAUGGCGAAGAGGUCACACCCGUUCCCAUGCCGAACACGGAAGUUAAGCUCUUCAGCGCCGAUGGUAGUUGGGGGUUUCCCCCUGUGAGAGUAGGACGUUGCUAGGC